AGAUGGGGUCAACGAGGAUGACUUGCUCGAAAUCAAGCAGGAUAUUUCCAGUCUUAGGUUCGAGCUCCGCGAAGAUCGCAAGCGCGAGGCAGCGCACAACGUGAGGCAGCUGGACACGCUCAGGCGGGACAUCUUCAAGGGCGUGCCGGCAAGGCCUACCACGGCACAGCCCUCCUCCUCCUGUGGACCACUGUUGCCCGAAGAAGUGGAGCAGCUACGCAUUCAGGUCAUCGAGGGCGUGCGGGAAGAACUGAGGCACCUUGCACGAGAGCUGCACGUGCAGCACUGCCACCGGGGGCCGCCCGCGUUUCCGGCGGCCUCGUUGCCACCCGACCUCUACCAGACACACCUGUUCACGCAGUUAUGAGGCUCGCAAUUGACCGCGGUCAUGUCUCCGAAGUUUUGAGGAAGUACAGUUAAACCUCGAUAUAACGAAAUUCAGUAUAACGAAAUUCUCGAUAUAACAAGCUCUUUCACUUUUGACAGCUUCAUGACCAUAGAUGUAUGUCGAUCCUCAAUAUAACGAAGCAUGUUUAUCCGUGAUUUCGAUAUAGCCAAGAUUCAGUGCUGACCCAGGAGAAGACCGAGACAAUUAAUUGAAAGGUCUGCUGGGGCCAGUGGACAUAUGGUUCAGUUGCACACUGUUUUUGCGAACGCUUAUUCUAUAACCUCCAGUUCUAUCGGAUUCACGCGUGAUGUUUGGUCACUGUGAAAAGGACUUCCUCACCGGAUCUCAGUGUAAAAAAAAAAGUGUUUUCUUUUUCGCGUUAUCGAAAUCAGUUAUUUUUUAUGCUGCCGUAUUAUUCAAGCAUUCUUUGGGGCAUUCACGUGCAAAAAAUAGAGAGAAGAAGAAGCCACCAUAUUUAGCUUAAAGGGCGAAUUUCAAUUGGCUGAAGUUGCGAAAUGACAAAGUAAAAUGCCGUUUUUACUGAUUCAUUACAUCGAGGUUUAACGGUAUUUCGAGCACUCGCUGAGCAAUCAAGCUCCAUCCAGCGUGGUCGAUAUAUGUUCAUGCCAGCGAUUGUCCACGCAUUCCUGGCGCGAUGUACGUGCGCUUUUUUGUUUACGUGCUUUCCUGGGUUAGAAAAAAAUGGGGCGCCACUGAAGCACGUAGUUCAAUAAUACUUGCCGUUGGUGGUGAAUCACAAUGGACAUUUUUUAGCUUAAAGAAGGAAAUGAAGGCCUUCAGGAGAGUCGUGACCGACUGCACAACAUAACGCAGGACGCCGGUUCGUGGAAGUCUCGCGAAAGGCCCACGGUAGCGUAGUUCCAUUGCUGCGGGGCGAUGUAAAGGUUGUGCCUCGCCUAUGCACCGUCUCGCUUUAUUUUCUUCGCUAAAAAUGCCCUGAGAAGCACUUGUUUGCAUCUUGAAAUACCGCGCUCGCGCGCAACGUGUAUAUGCCGAGCAGUCUGCGAUGAUAGCCGGACGUACCUGCAUUGGCGCAUGAUUGAUCUUUCAUGCGCAGUUUGUUGAUAGACUUAGCGUUCCAUAGCUAGAUGACAUUACUAGGCUUGCUGGUGGUUUUCGAAUGUUUACAUACAGCACAAGAAUAUUGUCGGUCCGUUUGUCUCCGUUCACGUUUGUAGCAUUAAUGUGUCGCGCAGAUCUCAAUGAAGCUGUCCGAUAUUUUUAGACCCGUAGAGCCAGACUACAGACUUAACAAUCACUUGGGAUAGUUACACCGAAGCG